rnacentral:rRNA from 1 species
GACGAACGCUGGCGGCGUGCUUAACACAUGCAAGUCGAACGGAAAGGCCCUGCUUUUGUGGGGUGCUCGAGUGGCGAACGGGUGAGUAACACGUGAGUAACCUGCCCUUGACUUUGGGAUAACUUCAGGAAACUGGGGCUAAUACCGGAUAGGAGCUCCUGCUGCAUGGUGGGGGUUGGAAAGUUUCGGCGGUUGGGGAUGGACUCGCGGCUUAUCAGCUUGCUGGUGGGGUAGUGGCUUACCAAGGCUUUGACGGGUAGCCGGCCUGAGAGGGUGACCGGCCACAUUGGGACUGAGAUACGGCCCAGACUCCUACGGGAGGCAGCAGUGGGGAAUAUUGCACAAUGGGCGGAAGCCUGAUGCAGCAACGCCGCGUGCGGGAUGACGGCCUUCGGGUUGUAAACCGCUUUCGCCUGUGACGAAGCGUGAGUGACGGUAAUGGGUAAAGAAGCACCGGCUAACUACGUGCCAGCAGCCGCGGUGAUACGUAGGGUGCGAGCGUUGUCCGGAUUUAUUGGGCGUAAAGGGCUCGUAGGUGGUUGAUCGCGUCGGAAGUGUAAUCUUGGGGCUUAACCCUGAGCGUGCUUUCGAUACGGGUUGACUUGAGGAAGGUAGGGGAGAAUGGAAUUCCUGGUGGAGCGGUGGAAUGCGCAGAUAUCAGGAGGAACACCAGUGGCGAAGGCGGUUCUCUGGGCCUUUCCUGACGCUGAGGAGCGAAAGCGUGGGGAGCGAACAGGCUUAGAUACCCUGGUAGUCCACGCUGUAAACGGUGGGUACUAGGUGUGGGGUCCAUUCCACGGGUUCCGUGCCGUAGCUAACGCUUUAAGUACCCCGCCUGGGGAGUACGGCCGCAAGGCUAAAACUCAAAGGAAUUGACGGGGCCCCGCACAAGCGGCGGAGCAUGCGGAUUAAUUCGAUGCAACGCGUAGAACCUUACCUGGGUUUGACAUGGAUCGGGAGCGCUCAGAGAUGGGUGUGCCUCUUUUGGGGUCGGUUCACAGGUGGUGCAUGGCCGUCGUCAGCUCGUGUCGUGAGAUGUUGGGUUAAGUCCCGCAACGAGCGCAACCCUUGUUCACUGUUGCCAGCACGUUAUGGUGGGGACUCAGUGGAGACCGCCGGGGUCAACUCGGAGGAAGGUGGGGAUGACGUCAAGUCAUCAUGCCCCUUAUGUCCAGGGCUUCACGCAUGCUACAAUGGCUGGUACAGAGAGUGGCGAGCCUGUGAGGGUGAGCGAAUCUCGGAAAGCCGGUCUCAGUUCGGAUUGGGGUCUGCAACUCGACCUCAUGAAGUCGGAGUCGCUAGUAAUCGCAGAUCAGCAACGCUGCGGUGAAUACGUUCCCGGG